UAGCGGCGAGCGAACGGGGAGGAGCCCAGAGCCUGAAUCAGCAUGUGUGUUAGUGGAAGCGUCUGGAAAGGCGCGCGAUACAGGGUGACAGCCCCGUACACAAAAGCGCAUGUGCUGUGAGCUCGAUGAGUAGGGCGGGACACGUGGUAUCCUGUCUGAAUAUGGGGGGACCAUCCUCCAAGGCUAAAUACUCCUGACUGACCGAUAGUGAACCAGUACCGUGAGGGAAAGGCGAAAAGAACCCCGGCGAGGGGAGUGAAAAAGAACCUGAAACCGUGUACGUACAAGCAGUGGGAGCCCCACCACUAAGCCAGUGGUGAACUCCACAUACGCAUCCUUUGCUGAGGAUACGGUUAACGGAGCGAAAGCGACGUUCAACCUCAAAAGAAGCAGAGGGGG
rnacentral:rRNA from 1 species